CGUAGGUGGCAAGCGUUGUCCGGAUUUAUUGGGUUUAAAGGGUGCGUAGGCGGUCUAUUAAGUCGGUGCUGAAAUAUCCCGGCUUAACCGGGAGGGUGGCAUUGAUACUGAUGGACUUGAGUGCAGUCGAGGUAGGCGGAAUUGACGGUGUAGCGGUGAAAUGCUUAGAUAUCGUCAAGAACACCGAUAGUGAAGACAGCUUACUAGACUGUAACUGACGCUGAGGCACGAAAGUGUGGGGAUCAAACAGGAUUAGAUACCCUGGUAGUCCACACUGUAAACGUUGAUUACUCGAUGCGUGCGAUAUACAGUACGCGUCUUAGCGCAAGCGAUAAGUAAUCCACCUGGGGAGUACGCCGGCAACGGUG
rnacentral:rRNA from 1 species